AUGCCGGUCGUUCAGUGGCAGGACCUGUGACUCCAAAUCACAAGACAAGGGUUCAAAUCCUCUCCGGUAUG
rnacentral:tRNA from 1 species